CCGCACUGUGGGUACUUGCUGC
rnacentral:miRNA from 9 species